ensembl:snoRNA small nucleolar RNA U83B
UAAUCUCGGUGAUGAGACCGCGGAUCUUGCGUCAGGCAUGGCGCCUGAGACACAUGAAGAUAUCUUCCAUGCUGCCUUCCUUCUGAGACGAUG